CAGGUGUGUAAGAAAAAGCAUGGCGACUCGAAACGUAUUUGUGUUGCUGUACUUGUGCGGAAUCAUCGGAUGCUGGGCAGACCCCUGCUUAAAUCCUAUGGAAGUUCCAAGUCUUGAGAAGCGAGACGGCGACUACGUCCUUGCAACAGGAGAGAGAGCCGUAAACGACAGGCUGCUCACAGAGGGGUGGUAUGACGCCGGAGGAAAGGUAUUCCUAGACUCACCACCAGGGUUCCAGCACUGCGGUACUCGUUACCCUAUAUGGAGA